AAUUAGGUGGCCGAUUUAAAGCAAUAAAUUGUAAAUUUAUUUAUAAGAUAUUUUCUUCCUAAUUA
rnacentral:tRNA from 1 species